UACGUAGGGGGCAAGCGUUGUCCGGAUUUAUUGGGCGUAAAGAGCGUGUAGGCGGCCAGAUAGGUCCGUUGUGAAAACUCGAGGCUCAACCUCGAGACGCCGAUGGAAACCAUCUGGCUAGAGUCCGGAAGAGGAGAGUGGAAUUCCUGGUGUAGCGGUGAAAUGCGUAGAUAUCAGGAGGAACACCGAUGGCGAAGGCAGGUCUCUGGGCUGACACUGACGCUCAUGCACGAAAGCGUGGGGAGCAAACAGG
rnacentral:rRNA from 1 species